AGAGUUUGAUCAUGGCUCAGAACGAACGCUGGCGGCGUGCCUGAGACAUGCAAGUCGUGGGAGAAUGUCGCAGCAAUACGGCUAGUAAACCGGCGCACGGGUGAGUAACACGUGGACAAUUUGCCCUUGAGUCUGGGAUAACCCGUCGAAAGACGAGCUAAUACCGGAUAAGACCACAGGAAGUUCGCUUCCCGAGGUAAAAGAUGGCCUCUGCUCCUGCAAGCUAUCACUCAUCGAGAAGUUCGCGGCCUAUCAGCUAGUUGGUGAGGUAACGGCCCACCAAGGCUAAGACGGGUAGCUGGUCUGAGAGGAUGGUCAGCCACACUGGGACUGAGACACGGCCCAGAGUCCUACGGGAUGCAGCAGUCAGGAAUAUUGCGCAAUGGAGGAAACUCUGACGCAGCGACGCCGCGUGGGUGAUGAAGGCCUUCGGGUCGUAAAGCCCUGUCGGAGGGGAAGAAAAGCGGUUUGGCUAAUAUCCAAGCCGCUCUUGACGGUACCCUCAAAGGAAGCACCGGCUAACUCCGUGCCAGCAGCCGCGGUAAGACGGAGGGUGCAAGCGUUGUUCGGAUUGACUGGGCGUAAAGGGCGUGUAGGCGGUUGGUCAAGUCUGGUGUGAAAGCCCGGGGCUCAGCUCCGGAAGUGCAUCGGAAACUAGCUGACUGGAGCGCGAUAGAGGAGGGUGGAAUUCCUGGUGUAGCGGUGAAAUGCGUAGAUAUCAGGAGGAACACCGGCGGCGAAGGCGGCCCUCUGGAUCGUUGCUGACGCUGAGACGCGAAAGCGUGGGGAGCAAACAGGAUUAGAUACCCUGGUAGUCCACGCUGUAAACUAUGGGUACUAGGUGUUCGGGGUGUUGACCCCCUGAGUGCCGCAGCUAACGCAUUAAGUACCCCGCCUGGGGACUACGGCCGCAAGGUUAAAACUCAAAGGAAUUGACGGGGCCCGCACAGCGUGAGCAUGCUGUUCAAUUCGACGCACGCGAGACCUUACCUGGCUAGACACGGCGGACCGCCCGAGAAAUCGGG
rnacentral:rRNA from 1 species